GACGUCAAGUCAGCAUUGGCCUUUAUAGUCCUGGGCUACACACACGCUACAAUGGAAGGACAAUAGGUUGCGAAGCCGCGAGGCGGAGCCAAUCCAAGCAAACUCCCUCAGUUCAGAUUGCAGGCUGCAACUCGCCUGCAUGAAGUUGGAGUUGCUAGUAAACGCAGGUCAGCCAUACUGCGUUGAAUACGUUCCCGGGGCUU
rnacentral:rRNA from 1 species